UACGUAGGGGGCAAGCGUUGUCCGGAAUCACUGGGCGUAAAGGGCGUGUGGGCGGUAUGGUAAGUCAGAUGUGAAAGUUCGGGGCUCAACCCCGGAAUUGCAUUUGAAACUGUCAUACUUGAGUACUGGAGAGGUAAGCGGAAUUCCUAGUGUAGCGGUGAAAUGCGUAGAUAUUAGGAGGAACACCAGUGGCGAAGGCGGCUUACUGGACAGAGACUGACGCUGAGGCGCGAAAGCGUGGGGAGCGAACAGGAUUAGAUACCCUGGUAGUCCACGCCGUAAACGAUGAGUGCUAGGUGUUGGGGAAACUCAGUGCCGUAGUUAACACAAUAAGCACUCCGCCUGGGGAGUACGGUCGCAAGACUGAA
rnacentral:rRNA from 1 species